rnacentral:rRNA from 1 species
GUGUCAGCCGCCGCGGUAAUACGAAGGGGGCUAGCGUUGCUCGGAAUCACUGGGCGUAAAGGGUGCGUAGGCGGGUCUUUAAGUCAGAGGUGAAAUCCUGGAGCUCAACUCCAGAACUGCCUUUGAUACUGAAGAUCUUGAGUUCGGGAGAGGUGAGUGGAACUGCGAGUGUAGAGGUGAAAUUCGUAGAUAUUCGCAAGAACACCAGUGGCGAAGGCGGCUCACUGGCCCGAUACUGACGCUGAGGCACGAAAGCGUGGGGAGCAAAUAGGAUUAGAUACCCGGGUAGUCC